rnacentral:piRNA from 1 species
UGCAGAUGCUGCUGCUGUUGCCCAAAGGA